GUUAGUAGGGCAUAGCCCGGCGAAAGUCGGAUUAAUACCCUAUGUUGUCAAGUAGAGGACAUCUGAAGCUGACCAAAGGUUUACCGCUAAGGGAUGGGGAUGCGUCUGAUUAGGUGCAGGCGGGGUAACGGCCCACCUGGCCGACGAUCAGUAGGGGUUCUGAGAGGAAGGUCCCCCCACACUGGUACUGAGACACGGACCAGACUCCUACGGGAGGCAGCAGUGAGGAAUAUUGGUCAAUGGGCGCGAGCCUGAACCAGCCAAGUAGCGUGCAGGAUGACGGCCCUAUGGGUUGUAAACUGCUUUUAUCGAGGGGAUAAAGUGAGGGACGUGUCCCUUUUUGUAGGUACCUGAUGAAUAAGGACCGGCUAAUUCCGUGCCAGCCGCCGC
rnacentral:rRNA from 1 species